rnacentral:rRNA from 1 species
UACAGAGGUCCCAAGCGUUGUUCGGAUUCACUGGGCGUAAAGGGUGCGUAGGCGGUCGGGUAAGUCUGAUGUGAAAUCUCACAGCUUAACUGUGAAACUGCAUUGGAUACUAUCCGGCUAGAGGAAUGGAGGGGAGACUGGAAUACUUGGUGUAGCAGUGAAAUGCGUAGAUAUCAAGUGGAACACCAGAGGCGAAGGCGAGUCUCUGGACAUUUCCUGACGCUGAGGCACGAAAGCCAGGGGAGCAAACGGG